GGCACCAUGCCUGCCCAGUGCUUAGGUGACACUCGCACCGCGAUGUGUUGUGAUGUGAAAGUCGCAAGGUGACAUCACUGUAAGCCGGCUGCCUGCUGGCUCUAUAAAAGAAAGGCGGGCACCGUGCCUGGCCAGUGCUUAGGUGACACUCGCGCUGCGAUGUGUUGUGAUGUGAAAGUCGCAAGGUAACAUCACUGUAAGCUGGAUGUAAGCCCGCCGCCUGCUGGCUCUAUAAAAGAAAGGCGGGCACCGUGCCUGGCCAGUGCUUAGAUGACACUCGCGCCGGGGAUGUGUUGUGAUGUGAAAGUAGCACCAAGUUUAUAACCUUCGAUCUCAGAAUGAAUUUGUUUUUUGGAUCGAUGAUGGCUUUCCAAGGGAUUUUUUAUGAAAUUUUAAGUUUUCAUACACGCAUAAGCCUUUAAACCUAUUCAGCGGCUUUAAUCGUUUAAGGACAUUAAUGCAUAAUAUAUGUAUGUAUAAUAUAUAUAAGUAAGGGUACUAAGAGAUAAUUGUUGAGAAACAGCUCACCUGUCGGUUUAGCUACUAUUUACAUGAAUGCAUAGUAAUUACCCAAAAAUAAUUAUUUGUAUAGUUAACAGGGUUAAGUGUCAAAAGGAUGGGCCAAAAACGACACUGGCCAGCUAUUAAAUAUACUUACAAGUGCAAUUGUUGUAAUAAAUCGUCAACCAGCAAAUAUUGUCAAAUGUUAGCUUUCCAAAUGUAAGUCAGCCAUUGACAAUGAUGCGAGCCAUAGAUAAUGGGUUUCGGAGUGUCGCCUCAAGUACAAACCCCUUACAUUAGACUGCAGACAAAAACAGCGUCACAUGUCCGCGCACAACUACAUAUAGACAGACAUAUAAACAAAUAUACACAUGGAUAUUACGGAACACCUUAGAAGGGUAUCAUCACCGUUAUACAAACAUAUACAUAUAUGUAUGCAUAGCUGAAAUACGCACAUUAAGAAAUCUGAAAGGGUCGGAACGGUGCAUAAAGCCAAAAGCAAACAAUUUAAGUAACGAUGAAAGCAAUUAUUUGUUAUUGCAUUAGCGACAAUUACCGAAUGUUAUUAGUUCACAAAAAGAAGCCCUCUAUUAAAUAUUUGAGUGCGGUGCAGAUAUCGGUGAAUAUAUGGUGAGACAUAUGUAUGCAUUACCUUCAAUAACUGGUUAUACUGCUAAAUAAAGAACAUAAGAAGUAGCUGUCAUCCUCCUUUCUUCUAGUUGCUUAGAGCCUUAAUUUACUCAACGUCUUCGGUUAGACCCAUUAUAGCUCUAUGCAGUAGACUCCGAAGCACUAUUGCCUUUUCUGAAAGAGUAUUGAAGAAUGCUGAUAUACACAGAAGAGUUCGUUCCAAUUUCGUAAAGCCGUAGGACACAGCCUCGCCCACAAAACGGAAACCUAUAAUUUUCAUAAAAGUAAACGCAUUAAGUUAACAUGAUCAGCUUGAACGAACGCUAUAUACUAAAAUAACCCGAUAGCAUAAAAUGUGAACAAGUAUCAUUGACGCUAAAUGUAAACAGAAGUUGUGGACUUGGCUAAAUGUAAACAAAGGUUGUUGUCUUGGCUAAAUGUAAACAAAAAGGUCAAUGAUCUCAACAAAAUGUAAAGAAUAGAGUUAUGCUACACUUGAAAGUAUUUCCUUUGCUUUUAUCCUUUCAAGUUACAAUGAUAUAAAAUGUGCGGGUUUUCGCGAACUUAGCCCUUCCUUAGUUGUUUAAUUUGUUUAUUAAAAAUCCAAAACUUAAUGAAUUCGGUCACAAUAGAAGCUUCUAAAUAUAAUCUGGGAAAAUCCAUGCCAGCAGACACUUGUAGCCAAUGCUGAUUGCUAGUGAUAAUAGAAGUAUGUGCAACUACUUAAGCCAUCUCUAAGCAGUCCACCUAGCGAGCCCCUGUUUCCGGCUAUCCUGGUACACCUGGUGACCCUAAGCAGAUAGCCGACUUUUUUUUAUAGUAGGGGAAGCACAGAGAGCUGGAGUGCGGAACUUUAGUCCGCUAAACCUAACCUACUCCCAACUCAAGACUUAUGGGUACUCACGGAAUGCGUGAGCUACACGAUGAACUCAAGCUCGUGGUGCUGAUUUUCUGCAACUCACAAAGCCGAUCCCAUGCGAUAUUGAACUGCCGUGGUGUACG